rnacentral:rRNA from 1 species
AUUGAACGCUGGCGGCAGGCCUAACACAUGCAAGUCGAACGAGUGGCGGAAGGGUGAGUAAUGUCUGGGACACUGACUGAUGGAGGGGGAUAACUACUGGAAACGGUAGCUAAUACCGCAUACCAUCAGAUGUGCCCAGAUGGGCUUAGCUAGUUGGUGGGGUAACGGCUCACCAAGGCGACGAUCCCUAGGUGGUCUGAGAGGAUGACCAGCCACACUGGAACUGGUACACGGUCUAGAUUCCUACGGGAGGCAGCAGUGUGGAAUAUUGCACAAUGGGCGCAAGCCUGAUGCAGCCAUGCCGCUUGUAUGAAGAAGGCCUUCGGUUUGUAAAGUACUUUCAGCGGGGAGGCGUUACCCGCAGAAGAAGCACCGGCUAACUCCGUGCCAGCAGCCGCGGUAAUAC